rnacentral:lncRNA from 1 species
CUGAUAUAACACAUUCUUGUUCUUGUAAUUAACCAUUACAUUGUGAAAUAAUCACAAUAAUUAUUCCUUCCAUAACAACUUUAGUUUUUAGUAGGUACACCAGGAAACAAAGGAAUUCCACCAAAACCAGGGAUGCCAAAAUUUGGCAAUCCGGGUAUGUUAAAACAAUCGGUACUUUCACUUUCAACACAUCUUGCAUCUGUCGAUUUUUUGCUAUCUUUGAGAUUACCAUUGUCAUUUUUCUCCAUCACAACAUUUG